GACGAACGCUGGCGGCGUGCUUAACACAUGCAAGUCGAACGGAAAGGCCCUGCUUUUGUGGGGUGCUCGAGUGGCGAACGGGUGAGUAACACGUGAGUAACCUGCCCUUGACUUUGGGAUAACUUCAGGAAACUGGGGCUAAUACCGGAUAGGAGCUCCUGCUGCAUGGUGGGGGUUGGAAAGUUUCGGCGGUUGGGGAUGGACUCGCGGCUUAUCAGCUUGUUGGUGGGGUAGUGGCUUACCAAGGCUUUGACGGGUAGCCGGCCUGAGAGGGUGACCGGCCACAUUGGGACUGAGAUACGGCCCGGACUCCUGCGGGAGGCAGCAGUGGGGAAUAUUGAACAAUGGGCGGAAGCCUGAUGGAGCAACGCCGCGUGCGUGAUGACGGCCUUCGGGUUGUAAACCGCUUUCGCCUGUGACGAAGCGUGAGUGACGGUAAUGGGUAAAGAAGCACCGGCUAACUACGUG
rnacentral:rRNA from 1 species